rnacentral:rRNA from 1 species
AGAUUGAACGCUGGCGGCAGGCCUAACACAUGCAAGUCGAGCGGUAGAGAGGUGCUUGCAUCUCUUGAGAGCGGCGGACGGGUGAGUAAUGCCUAGGAAUCUGCCUAGUGGUGGGGGAUAACGUUCGGAAACGGACGCUAAUACCGCAUACGUCCUACGGGAGAAAGCGGGGGACCUUCGGGCCUCGCGCCAUUAGAUGAGCCUAGGUCGGAUUAGCUAGUUGGUGAGGUAAUGGCUCACCAAGGCGACGAUCCGUAACUGGUCUGAGAGGAUGAUCAGUCACACUGGAACUGAGACACGGUCCAGACUCCUACGGGAGGCAGCAGUGGGGAAUAUUGGACAAUGGGCGAAAGCCUGAUCCAGCCAUGCGCGUGUGUGAAGAAGGUCUUCGGAUUGUAAAGCACUUUAAGUGGAGGAAGGUUGUAAACCUAAGUACGUUGACGUAACGUUUGACGUUACCGACAGAAUAACGCAACCGGCUAAACUUCGUGCCAGCUAGCCGUAA